AUGAGCGGCGGGGCGUCGCUGGGGCUCAGGACGUCCGGGAGCUAUGGGUCCCUGCAGCAGCCCAACGGCCAGUCCCCCUCCCCGUCGCCGCCGGUGGCGGUCCGGAAGCCCGCGAAGAUGUCCCUCGGCGGCGGCGGCCCCGGCGCCGCCGGCCGCGGGGGCGAGCGCCUCCUCUUCGCCCGGAUCUGCAUGUUCGCGGGCCGUCGCCGCCGGAUGCUCCUGCUCCUCCUCGUCGCCGUCGCUCUCGUCGUCUGCUUCCUCUUCUCAUCACUUGUCAGUAAAGAUGAAGUUGCAGCACCUGGUACCGAGACCAUGCUGGGAUUAUCUGAUCAUGUCCGGAGCUUUGUAAAUCCUGUAUGGACAUCUUCUUUGAGUGGAAAUGAUUUGAAUACAACAUCACCAACAGUAAAACAGCCGGACAUCAGUCAUGAAAAGGUUCAGGGUCUUUCACGGAGUUUCCCGCCAGCUAUUCACCUGGAGCACCAUCCUUGUGAAAGUUUCUCAUUUUCUCCUCCACCUAUUGAUAGGAAACGUACUGGACCACGGCCAUGUCCUGUUUGUUAUGUGCCUGUUGACCAGGCCCUGGCAUUGAUGCCAGCUGCUCCAACAGCAUCACCUAUCCUUCAAAGUUUAAAUUAUUUGUCUGGAGACAAUUUGGUACUCAAAGAGUCCAACAGUGGUUCUUUGUUUGGUGGUUAUCCAUCUCUGGAACAACGAGAUAUGUCUUUUGACAUAAAAGACUCGAUGACAGUACAUUGUGGAUUUGUGAGAGGGAAGAUACCUGGUCUCAAUACUGGAUUCGAUGUAGAUGAAGCUGAUCUGUCUGAGAUGCGGCAGUGCCAGGGGACAGUUGUUGCUUCUGCUAUUUUCGGGAAUUAUGAUAUAAUGCAACAACCAGAAAACAUCAGUGAAUUUUCAAAAGAUACUGUUUGCUUCUUCAUGUUUCUGGAUGAAGAAACAGAAGCUGCAAUAAAGAACACCACUGCUGUUGAUAAUAUGAAAAAAAUCGGGCUGUGGCGGGUGGUUGUUGUCCAUGACCUUCCUUAUUCGGAUGCAAGGCGGAAUGGAAAGAUUCCAAAACUAUUACUUCAUCGGCUCUUUCCUAAUGCGCGGUAUUCACUCUGGAUCGAUGGGAAACUUAAACUUGUGAAGGAUCCUUAUCAGCUACUAGAGAGAUUUUUAUGGAGGAAAAAUGUGAGCUUCGCUAUUUCCAGGCAUUAUAGACGCUUUGACGUCUUUGAGGAAGCUGAGGCGAACAAGGCUGGUGGGAAGUAUGAUAAUGCUUCAAUCGAUAACCAAAUAGAGUUCUACAAGCGAGAGGGCUUAACCCAUUAUUCAUCAGCUAAGCUUCCUAUUACAAGCGAUGUCCCUGAGGGCUGUGUAAUAAUAAGAGAGCACAUACCCAUCACCAAUCUCUUCACAUGCCUUUGGUUUAAUGAAGUUGACCGCUUCACCUCAAGAGAUCAGAUAAGCUUCAGCACAGUGAGGGAUAAAAUAAGGUCAAGAGUUAAUUGGACUGCAGACAUGUUCCUGGAUUGUGAAAGGCGUGAUUUUGUUGUUCAGGCAUACCACAGAGAACUCAUGGAGCAAAGGCUGGCUGCCUUACGGAGCCAGCCUCCGCCGCCUCCACCUCCACCUCCACCGCCCCCUCCCGUGGUGCGUGUGCAGCAACCUCGAAAGAUGCUCCCAGACAGCGCACCAAAGGAACCUGGGAGAGCUUCCAAGAAGCCAGCAGGGAGGCGCUCACGGAGAUCAGGCUCGAAACGGUCCCAUCGAACGAAAGCCUCCAGCGUGAAGGAACCCAUUCGACUGUAA
rnacentral:rRNA from 1 species